GACGAACGCUGGCGGCGUGCCUAAUACAUGCAAGUCGAACGAGAAAUUCUUACACCGGAUGCUUGCAUCCACCGUAAGAUUUCGAGUGGCGGACGGGUGAGUAACACGUGGGUAACCUGCCCAAAAGAAGGGGAUAACAUUUGGAAACAAGUGCUAAUACCGUAUAACCAUGAUGACCGCAUGGUCAUGAUGUAAAAGGUGGUUUUGCUAUCGCUUUUGGAUGGACCCGCGGCGUAUUAACUAGUUGGUAAGGUAACGGCUUACCAAGGUGAUGAUACGUAGCCGAACUGAGAGGUUGAUCGGCCACAAUGGGACUGAGACACGGCCCAUACUCCUACGGGAGGCAGCAGUAGGGAAUCUUCCACAAUGGGCGCAAGCCUGAUGGAGCAACGCCGCGUGAGUGAAGAAGGUUUUCGGAUCGUAAAACUCUGUUGUCAGAGAAGAACAAGGAUAAGAGUGGAAAGUUUAUCCCUUGACGGUAUCUGACCAGAAAGCCACGGCUAACUACGUGCCAGCAGCCGC
rnacentral:rRNA from 1 species